rnacentral:rRNA from 1 species
ACGGCCGGGUAAUACCGCAUACGCUUGGUUUGGGGCAUCCCUUUCCAAGGAAACUUCCGGGGCGGAUCGAGGGGCUCGCGGCCUAUCAGCUAGUUGGCGAGGUAACGGCUCACCAAGGCGACGACGGGUAGCUGGUCUGAGAGGAUGGCCAGCCACAUUGGGACUGAGAAACGGCCCAGACUCCUACGGGAGGCAGCAGUGGGGAAUAUUGCGCAAUGGCCGCAAGGCUGACGCAGCGACGCCGCGUGUGGGAGGACGCCUUUCGGGGUGUAAACCACUGUUGCCCGGGACGAACACCUGGUUUUGGCCAGGCUGACGGUACCGGGUGAGGAAGCACCGGCUAACUCCGUGCCAGCAGCCGCGGUAAUACGGAGGGUGCGAGCGUUGUCCGGAAUCACUGGGCGUAAAGGGCGCGUAGGCGGUGCGGUAAGCGUGCGGUGAAAGCUCGGGGCUCAACCCCGAGUCGGCCGUGCGAACUGCUGGACUGGAGCAUGUCAGAGGCGGGUGGAAUUCCGGGUGUAGCGGUGGAAUGCGUAGAGAUCCGGAAGAACACCGGUGGCGAAGGCGGCCCGCUGGGACAUAGCUGACGCUGAGGCGCGACAG